rnacentral:lncRNA from 1 species
UUCUCAUCUGCAUUCCUUUGUAAUGUGCAAAACAAUUACUCCUUCCAAUAUGCCAUUUUUUACUACAAGGAAGAGCUCUCUUUUGGUCUUUCUUCCUCAACUGUGUUCAUAAAAAUUGCCUCUAUAUUAUUUUUCGUCACAAUGUACAGGCCGUUUCUAGUUAUACUUAAAUGGCAAAGUUAACUCAAAUAAAAUUUUAACAACACAGUUAAUAGUAAAAAAGGAGUAAGUUCUCUUUCAUACGUCUCAUCAAUUUAAUUGGGGAUUGCUAUUAGGCGCCCUGUUUUUUAUUAUCCAGCGCCCUGUUUUUUAUUAUCCAACGCCCUGAUAUUUGAAUUUAGUGAGUAAAAUUACGCGAAUGUCUUCAAACACACUACCUAAUUCGAAACUCUCAGCUCUC